rnacentral:lncRNA from 1 species
UCCAGAAGAUUUAGAGAAGAGCAGCCGUGUGUGUACGAGCAGCGUCUCCAGGCAUCAGACCUGUCAGCUGCUGUCCUGCCAAGCUUCACGUGCGUCCUGUCCCCGCGCCUCAGCAGAGAGCCACGUGGAUGUUUCCUUGCUGCCUGCGGCCCACGGAGGCCUUGACUGCUAGCCACUUCAGGUCUCAGAGCGGUGAUGACACAGAUGACCUUUCCAGGUCAAUCCUUAGGAGUGGGAUGUGCGGGUCAUAUGCAUUGAGAAACUGACUGAGACACUGAUGGACAAAGAUGUUCUCCGUUUCACCUCCAAAACCGAUUGUGGGUGAUCAUCUUCCAAAAGCAAGAGGUUAUGGAGUGGAUUCCAUCUGCAGAGGAGGAGGAGAAAAAGGCAGUGGACUCUCUCACUUCAAAUGCGAUUAGAGAGAUGUGUAAAAUGUGGGAAACAGUGCAAAAUUUUAUAGAAAAACACCACUGAAUAAAGCUGUAGCAGCGUAACAAUGAAUUAUUUAAUGACAAUGUAAUGUCACAUUUCCACGAAAUCCUCAAAAAAGAGUCAAAAGCAAGUGUCAUUGGAUAGAUUCUUUGUUAAAGUUGCGUGAAAAGAUUCCAUUGAGCCAAUAGACAGCAGUGAUUCCAUUAGUGAUAGUGAAAGUCCUCCUACACGAUAACACUUUUCUCUCUUGUCUCUCUCACCAGCCGUGAAGGUUUUCAAAGGUUCCAGAGCUCUGGAGACUCUUCUAAUGGGCCUGGUACUUGGAGAGGCGGACUGCCUUCUUUGGGGUGAUGCCGAUGUUCCUCUUCGGACGGGGAGAAUGCCGUGUGCUUGGUGGUGGUGACCGGCCUGCCCUAGUGGCACGGCUGGCUCGGAAGACCCUUUCCUACGCUGCGAUGAGAGAAGGUGAGC